rnacentral:rRNA from 1 species
CCUACGGGAGGCAGCAGUAGGGAAUUUUUCACAAUGGGCGAAAGCCUGAUGGAGCAACGCCGCGUGCAGGAUGAAGGCCUUCGGGUUGUAAACUGCUUUUAUAAGCGAGAAAUAUGAUGGUAACUUAUGAAUAAGGAUCGGCUAACUACGUGCCAGCAGCCGUGGUCAUACGUAGGAUCCGAGCAUUAUCCGGAGUGACUGGGUGUAAAGAGUUGCGUAGGUGGGAUAAUAAGUAGCUAGUGAAAUCUGGUGGCUCAACCAUUCAGACUAUUAGCUAAACUGUUAAGCUCGAGACCGUUAGGGGUAACUGGAAUUUCUAGUGUAGGAGUGAAAUCCGUAGAUAUUAGAAGGAACACCAAUAGCGUAGGCAGGUUGCUGGGACGGUUCUGACACUAAGGCACGAAAGCGUAGGGAGCAAACGGGAUUAGAUACCCUGGUAGUC